rnacentral:sRNA from 1 species
GCACGAACACUGUUUUGACGUACUUAC